GACGAACGCUGGCGGCGUGCUUAACACAUGCCAGUCGAGCGGUAAGGCUCCUUCGGGAGUACACGAGCGGCGAACGGGUGAGUAACACGUGAGUAAUCUGCCCUUCACUUCGGGAUAACCACCGGAAACGGUGGCUAAUACCGAAUACGACCAGUCUUCGCAUGAGGUGCUGGUGGAAAGUCUUUUCGGUGAAGGAUGUGCUCGCGGCCUAUCAGCUUGUUGGUGGGGUAAUGGCCUACCAAGGCUUCGACGGGUAGCCGGCCUGAGAGGGUGACCGGCCACACUGGGACUGAGACACGGCCCAGACUCCUACGGGAGGCAGCAGUGGGGAAUAUUGGACAAUGGGCGAAAGCCUGAUCCAGCAACGCCGCGUGAGGGAUGACGGCCUUCGGGUUGUAAACCUCGUUCAGUACCGACGAAGCGCCCUGUCGGGUGGUGACGGUAGGUACAGAAGAAGGACCGGCCAACUACGUG
rnacentral:rRNA from 1 species